rnacentral:rRNA from 1 species
UUACCCCCGCUUGGAACUAAGCAUAUCAAUAAGCGGAGGAAAAGAAACCAACAGGGAUUGCCCUAGUAACGGCGAGUGAAGCGGCAACAGCUCAAAUUUGAAAUCUGGCUCUUUUAGAGUCCGAGUUGUAAUUUGCAGAGGGCGCUUUGGCUUUGGCAGCGGUCCAAGUUCCUUGGAACAGGACGUCACAGAGGGUGAGAAUCCCGUACGUGGUCGCUGGCUAUUGCCGUGUAAAGCCCCUUCGACGAGUCGAGUUGUUUGGGAAUGCAGCUCUAAAUGGGAGGUACAUUUCUUCUAAAGCUAAAUAUUGGCCAGAGACCGAUAGCGCACAAGUAGAGUGAUCGAAAGAUGAAAAGCACUUUGGAAAGAGAGUCAAACAGCACGUGAAAUUGUUGAAAGGGAAGCGCUUGCAGCCAGACUUGCUUGCAGUUGCUCAUCCGGGCUUUUGCCCGGUGCACUCUUCUGUAGGCAGGCCAGCAUCAGUUUGGGCGGUAGGAUAAAGGUCUCUGUCACGUACCUCUCUUCGGGGAGGCCUUAUAGGGGAGACGACAUACUACCAGCCUGGACUGAGGUCCGCGCAUCUGCUAGGAUGCUGGCGUAAUGGCUGUAAGCGGCCCGUCUUGAAACACGGACCAAGGAGUCUAACAUCUAUGCGAGUGUUUGGGUGUCAAGCCCGAGCGCGUAAUGAAAGUGAACGGAGGUGGGAACCCGCAAGGGUGCACCAUCGACCGAUCCUGAUGUCUUCGGAAGGAUUUGAGUAAGAGCAUGGCUGUUGGGACCCGAAAGAUGGUGAACUAUGCUUGAAUAGGGUGAAGCCAGAGGAAACUCUGGUGGAGGCUCGCAGCGGUUCUGACGUGCAAAUCGAUCGUCAAAUUUGGGCAUAGGGGCGAAAGACUAAUCGAACUUCCAUGAUCCGGG